rnacentral:lncRNA from 1 species
CGCCCGCCCCGCCGUGCAUUUAGCGGUUUUCCGCAUCGGGACACCGUUGCCGCUGCUGGGCGGGCCGGAGCCAGAGCUUCCGCGAGAGCUGGUGCCGGGUGGGCCGGGGGCGCGGGCCGAGGAGGCGGUACUGGCCCAGCUCCGGGCUCUGGACUGGGUCCCCAGUGACAGCGCCGCCCGGGCUAUGCCCACGGGGACGCCGCUAGCCACCGGAGCGAGGUGCUGCCCUCCGCCACCAUGACCGAGGGCACGCUGGCAGCGGACGAAGUCCGGGUGCCCCUGGGCGCUUCGCCGCCGGCCCCUGCAGCGCCGGUGAGGGCUUCCCCAGCGAGCCCUGGGGCGCCGGGGCGCGAGGAGCAGGGAGGAUCCGGGUCGGGCGUGUUGGCUCCCGAGAGCCCAGGGACCGAGUGUGGUGCGGACCUGGGCGCCGACGAGGAACAGCCGGUCCCAUACCCAGCUCUGGCUGCCACAGUCUUCUUCUGCCUCGGGCAAACCACGCGGCCGC